UACGUAGGUGGCAAGCGUUGUCCGGAUUUACUGGGCGUAAAGAGCGCGCAGGCGGUCGGAUUAGUCGCGUGUGAAAGCCCCCGGCUCAACUGGGGAGGGUCACGCGAUACUGUUCGACUCGAAGGCAGGAGAGGGAAGUGGAAUUCCCGGUGUAGUGGUGAAAUGCGUAGAUAUCGGGAGGAACACCAGUGGCGAAGGCGACUUACUGGACACACAUUGACGCUGAGGUGCGAAAGCGUGGGGAGCAAACAGG
rnacentral:rRNA from 1 species